rnacentral:rRNA from 1 species
UGGGGAAUAUUGGGCAAUGGAGGAAACUCUGACCCAGCAACGCCGCGUGAAGGAAGAAGGUUUUCGGAUCGUAAACUUCUAUCCUUGGUGAAAAUAAUGAUGGUAGCCAAGAAGGAAGCCCCGGCUAACUACGUGCCAGCAGCCGCGGUAAUACGUAGGGGGCAAGCGUUGUCCGGAAUGAUUGGGCGUAAAGGGCGCGUAGGCGGCCUGGUAAGUCUGGAGUGAAAGUCCUGCUUUUAAGGUGGGAAUUGCUUUGGAUACUGUCGGGCUUGAGUGCAGGAGAGGUAAGUGGAAUUCCCGGUGUAGCGGUGAAAUGCGUAGAGAUCGGGAGGAACACCAGUGGCGAAGGCGACUUACUGGACUGUAACUGACGCUGAGGCGCGAAAGUGUGGGGAGCAAACA